UACGUAGGCAGCGAGCGUUGUUCGGAGUUACUGGGCGUAAAGAGUGCGUAGGCGGUUUUCUAAGUUUGGUGUGAAAUCUCCCGGCUUAACUGAGGAAGUGCAUCCGAAACUGGCAGGCUAGAGUACUAAAGAGGGUCGCGGAAUUCCCGGUGUAGAGGUGAAAUUCGUAGAUAUCGGGAGGAACACCGGUGGCGAAGGCGGCGACCUGGGUAGAUACUGACGCUGAGGUGCGAAAGCGUGGGGAGCAAACAGG
rnacentral:rRNA from 1 species